UAUCAAUUUUCUAAGAGCAAACGGUGGAUGCCUUGGCAUCUGGAGCCGAAGAAGGACGUAUAAAUCUGCGAUAAGCCUCGGGGAGCUGAUAAUAGAGCUUUGAUCCGAGGAUUUCCGAAUGGGGAAACCCCGCUGGGCGUUGCAAGACGACUCAGUGACUCCCGCCUGAAUAUAUAGGGCGGGUAGAGGGAACGUGGGGAAGUGAAACAUCUCAGUACCCACAGGAAGAGAAAACAACCGUGAUUCCGUUAGUAGUGGCGAGCGAAACCGGAAGAGGCCAAACCGAUCAUGUGUGAUAGCCGGCAGGCGUUGCAUGGUCGGGGUAGUGGGACUUUUCAGCUGUUACUGCCGUACAGCAAGGAUUACAACGAUAUAUAGACGAAUGGGAUUGAAAGCCCAGCCAUAGACGGUGCCAGCCCGGUAGUCGAAAUGUGUCAAUGGUCCGAAGAGUAUCCCAAGUAGCACGGGGCCCGAGAAAUCCCGUGUGAAUCUGUCAGGACCACCUGAUAAGCCUAAAUACUUCCAGAUGACCGAUAGCGGACAAGUACCGUGAGGGAAAGGUGAAAAGUACCCCGGGAGGGGAG
rnacentral:rRNA from 1 species